rnacentral:rRNA from 1 species
GUUGUCGUCAGCUCGUGUCGUGAGAUGUUGGGUUAAGUCCCGCAACGAGCGCAACCCUUAUUGUUAGUUGCCAGCAUUAAGUUGGGCACUCUAGCAAGACUGCCGGUGACAAACCGGAGGAAGGUGGGGAUGACGUCAAAUCAUCAUGCCCCUUAUGACCUGGGCUACACACGUGCUACAAUGGACGGUACAACGAGUCGCAAGACCGCGAGGUUUAGCAAAUCUCUUAAAGCCGUUCUCAGUUCGGAUUGUAGGCUGCAACUCGCCUACAUGAAGUCGGAAUCGCUAGUAAUCGCGGAUCAGCAUGUCGCGGUGAAUACGUUCCCGGGCCUUGUACACACCGCCCGUCACACCAUGAGAGUUUGUAACACCCAAAGCCGGUGGGGUAACCUUUUGGAGCCAGCCGUCUAAGGUGGGACAGAUGAUUAGGGUGAAGUCGUAACAAGGUAGCCGUAGGAGAACCUGCGGUUGGAUCACCUC